UGCCAGAAUAGCUCAGUGGUAGAGCAAAAGACUGAAAAUCUUUGUGUGGUUUGUUCGAUUCAGACUUUUGGCAA
rnacentral:tRNA from 1 species